UGCAUAGGAAUCUACCUAGUAGUAUGGGAUAGCCACUAGAAAUGGUGGGUAAUACUGUAUAAUCCCUGCGGGGGAAAGAUUUAUCGCUAUUAGAUGAGCCUAUGUCAGAUUAGCUAGUUGGUGGGGUAAUGGCCUACCAAGGCGGUGAUCUGUAGCUGGUCUGAGAGGAUGAUCAGCCACACUGGAACUGAGACACGGUCCAGACUCCUACGGGAGGCAGCAGUGGGGAAUAUUGGACAAUGGGCGCAAGCCUGAUCCAGCUAUGCCGCGUGAGUGAGGAAGGCCUUAGGGUUGUAAAACUCUUUCAGUGGGGAAGAUAAUGACGGUA
rnacentral:rRNA from 1 species